rnacentral:rRNA from 1 species
AUUGAACGCUGGCGGCAUGCCUUACACAUGCAAGUCGAACGGCAGCACGGGUUCUUGCACCUGGUGGCGAGUGGCGAACGGGUGAGUAAUACAUCGGAACAUGUCCUGUAGUGGGGGAUAGCCCGGCGAAAGCCGGAUUAAUACCGCAUACGAUCUACGUAUGAAAUCGGGGGACCUUCGGGCCUCGCGCUUUAGGGUUGGCCGAUGGCUGAUUAGCUAGUUGGUGGGGUAAAGGCCUACCAAGGCGACGAUCAGUAGCUGGUCUGAGAGGACGACCAGCAAAACUGGGACGGAGACACGGAACAGAAUACUACGGGAGGCAGCAGUGGGGAAUGUUGGACAAUGGGCGAAAGCAUGAUCAAGCAAUGCCGCGUGUGUGAAGAAGGCCUUAGGGUUGUAAAGCAAUUUUGUCAGGAAAGAAAAAAUUGGCAAUAAUACGGUCGGGGGAUGACGGUACCGGAAGAAUAAGCACCGGCUAACUACGUG